UACGGGGGGGGCAAGCGUUGUUCGGAAUUACUGGGCGUAAAGGGCUCGUAGGUGGCCAACUAAGUCAGACGUGAAAUCCCCAGGCUCAACUUGGGAACUGCGUCUGAUACUGGAUGGCUUGAAUUCGGGAGAGGGAUGCAGAAUUCCAGGUGUAGCGGUGAAAUGCGUAGAUAUCUGGAGGAACACCGGUGGCGAAGGCGGCAUCCUGGACCAACACUGACGCUGAUGAGCGAAAGCCAGGGGAGCAAACGGG
rnacentral:rRNA from 1 species